UGAAAUCUCACCAGGCCCGGACACUGGAAGGAUUGACAGAUUGAUAGCUCUUUCUUGAUUCGGUGCGUGGUGGUGCAUGGCCGUUCUUAGUUGGUUGAGUGAUUUGUCUUGUUAAUUCCGAUAAAGAACGAGACUCUGUCCUGCUAAAUAGUGUCUGCUUCUCUUUCGAGCAGACAAUUCUUCUUAGAGGGACUAUAUGUGUUAAGCAUAUGGAAGUUUGAGGCAAUAA
rnacentral:rRNA from 1 species